CCACUAUUCUGUGAAAAGCCCAAGCCACCUGGAGACAGCCCCAAAUGAACUCCCAGCCAACAGCCAGCAUCAACCGUUGGCUAUACGUGGGAGCUAUUUCAGACCACCAGCUAACCAAGUCUUCAGAUGCCUGAAGGCCCAGCAGACACAAACCUACAAUGCAGAAAACCAAAACAACAGCAAAAAAAAAAAAAAAAAAAAAAAAAAAAGCAAAAAACCUAUGCAUUGAAGACAACACCAGGACUCAUUAUUCUUGGGCUAAACUUACCAAUAAUUUUAUAGAUCCCUAACCGUGUCCCUUUUUACUGAAACCAAAUGAGAGCAAAAUAUUUGUCUGACUUUUUCCUCUUGUCAAAAUUCAUGGACUCCUAGAUCUAACACUGAAUAUUAAAGAUGUCACAUUUCACUGUUCUAAUUUUAGGGCACUUAUACAUAUUAUGCAGUUGAUGUUUCUCCUCCUGCAAACAGUGUUUAUCCUUUUUCUCUUUCCCUCAACCAGCUUGCCUUGUAGUUUCACCUUCAAACAGAUUCCCAAUCCUCAAGGCUUCAAAUAUCCAGAAAAUCUCUCUUAUUCAUUCUCCUCUUUAUUGCUCAGUUUCCUAAUUUUAUAGAUUUUUUUUCCUUAGAAAUAUCUUUCGUCCAUCUUUUUCUCUCCAUUUCCACUACUGCCAAUAUUCCACUGUGAUUGAAGGAGACAUUUACCACAGCAUUCCAGGAUUACUCUGACAACUGGUUCUAUCCUCUCCAAUUUACCCUAUACCUUAAACAACAAUGCUAAAAUUAUCUUCCUUAAACACUAAUUUCAUUACAAUUCUUCCCUGCUCAAAAGCAUUCCAUGACUCCCUACUUCCUAUUACAUAAAUUCUAAAUCUCUCUGGUUGCAAUUCACUUCCUUCCUUCUUGGAGAAGGGGGUCCAUUAUUCUAUCUAGAACAUUAUUCUAUCUCUCUCCAUCCAAAACCCUUCACUACCCUCCAAAUACCAACAGGUUCAAUACCACUCUCUCCAUGAAACUUUCCAUUACAAUGGGUGUGGAACUAAGUAAUGUUCAACAUCACUUUUUAAAUCAAAGAACUAUAAGUGAUGUGGUUAGAGAAGAAAUUUAAAAUAUUCUCACACUGAAGCCUGAAAUUCCAC
rnacentral:lncRNA from 1 species